rnacentral:rRNA from 1 species
AGUUUGAUCAUGGCUCAGAACGAACGCUGGCGGCAUGCCUAACACAUGCAAGUCGAACGAGACCUUCGGGUCUAGUGGCGCACGGGUGCGUAACGCGUGGGAAUCUGCCCUUCGGUUCGGAACAACAGUUAGAAAUGACUGCUAAUACCGGAUAAUGACGUAAGUCCAAAGAUUUAUCGCCGAAGGAUGAGCCCGCGUAAGAUUAGGUAGUUGGUGGGGUAAUGGCCUACCAAGCCGACGAUCUUUAGCUGGUCUGAGAGGAUGAUCAGCCACACUGGGACUGAGACACGGCCCAGACUCCUACGGGAGGCAGCAGUGGGGAAUAUUGGACAAUGGGCGAAAGCCUGAUCCAGCAAUGCCGCGUGAGUGAUGAAGGCCUUAGGGUUGUAAAGCUCUUUACCAGGGAUGAUAAUGACAGUACCUGGAGAAUAAGCUCCGGCUAACUCCGUG